rnacentral:rRNA from 1 species
UACGUAGGGGGCGAGCGUUGUCCGGAUUUAUUGGGCGUAAAGAGCUCGUAGGCGGUUUGGUAAGUCGGGUGUGAAAAUCUCCACGCUCAACGUGGAGGGGCCACUCGAUACUGCCAUGACUCGAGUCCGGUAGAGGAGUGUGGAAUUCCCGGUGUAGCGGUGAAAUGCGCAGAUAUCGGGAGGAACACCCGUAGCGAAGGCGGCACUCUGGGCCGGAACUGACGCUGAGGAGCGAAAGCGUGGGGAGCAAAGCAGG